UUUUAUUAUUAUUAAUUUUGUACCACUAAUUCUUUAGAAACAGAUGUGCACAUGGGGAAACAACCAACCAGAAACAGAAAAUAACUGAAUGUACUCCCAAACACACUCAGUACAAACCCAACUUCCUGUUAUCUCUUUUGAUUUGUAAUCGAUUGUAAUUAAAUAAACAUGUUAUCCAGCCGUAAAGUUGUUUGGCUCAGCCAAAUGGGAGCCCGUACUUGCUGUUUCUGGGUUAACAUGAGUCGGGGCCGCAAAAAUCUCAACUUUGUACAGUUGUAAACAUAAAGGUCCAUGUUUCAUGUCGUGCAGGUUGAUAACAAGAACAUCGCAGAAACGUUGCGUUGUAACGCUCUAUAGCUGACAUCUUUUACAAUUUCGAUGACCCAUUUAUAGUUUACCGAAAUGUGAAAAAGUCCUGGGAGACCAGCAAAAGGUCACAAUAUUGACAGAAAACUCCCAAGGUCCAGUCCAAGACAAUCUGACAGUAUUCGGUCUGCUGUGGAUUGUGCCGUACAGUUAAUGUCGACGUACCACGUGACGGACUCGACGUGUAGUCUUGCAGCAGGUGAUGGGGAAGAAGCACCACUCAACCUUCUCCAAGCCUCCAGCGCUUUGGAGAAUGUUAAGUGUCAGAAGCGUAGAACCGGAUGCUAAUUUCCAAGGCAGAUGAAUGUUGUUUAAAUAUCAAGAGGCCUUUUCCGCUUGAAGGGGAAAAACAUUUUUGGGCAAACAUAACAUCACGUGGCUCACAUAGAUUAGCAUUGAAAUUUGAAUUGCGGGUGAAUGGCGUCAUGAGUGACAUACUGUAAUACGUAUAUUCUCGUCUCUGCGCUAGCAACAUUUAAGUGGCAAGAGCUGGAUGUUAUUGCUAUAUACAUACUACAAUUUAAAACUCCUCACAGCGUGAGUUGUCUGUGGUCCCUCACUUUGAAAUCAAUCCAUUCAUUCCAUUGUAAUUGCAAAUGGACACACACUGCUUAUUUUAAUUAGACAUCAAAAACACGUGCAAGAACGUCGAAGGGGGUUGUACUAAUCUUCCAGACGAUGACAAUCAGAUGAUUCCUUGGAAUAACAAUUGGCUGCAAGUAAAAUUGGCCUCAAUCAUUGGUUUUGAGUCAUCAAUUAGGGGUCCACAUAAAGGAAAAUCUUUUUGGUCAUUUUUGACAUAUGGCCAAAUUGAUAAUGCUAUGACUUAAAAUAUAAUAAAAAAAAAUAUUCAGAAAAAUAUAGAAAAUACUCAGUAUUUUAUUUUGAUUUUUUUUUUGGGUGCCAAUCCAAACGGACCAAGUCGAAGUACGACGGCAGUUUCAAGGCCAUUGACUGCAAAUAAACAACAACAGUUGAACGGAAAUCGGCACUCAGUCAAAUUACAUCGGGGAAGGGGACUCAGCUGGGCCAAACAUAAGUGCCGGGAGAAGGAGGUGACUGGCUGUCCCAUGAGGGGAUGACUGAUGGGACCGGGAGAAAGUAAUCAGCCACAGGAACUUCAAUAAGUCGCAAUACAUCACCAGAUGGAGUAGGAAGACGGCAAUCGAUGAUUCCAUCUGCUCUAUCGCAAACAAAGCAGAUGAUAAGGCACCGGAAAAAAAAUAUCAACAAAUAAUGGAAUGUAUGCUGUUGAAUAUGAUAGAAGCUGUGCUAUAGAUAUGCAAAUGUUUUUGAGGCUGGCAGACCAUCUCAGCUCUCCUGAAAUUUUCUAUACCAGCCAAUAUCUACCAAAUUUUCCACACUCACAUGUUGUUUGGCCUCAAUCUUUGGAAAUUCCCUGACACAAGUGUGAGUGUCUGAAAGACAAAUGGGUCAUCUACAAUUGUGCAUAUAUUCUGGAUGCUCUCCAAGCAGCUCACAUCAACAAGAUGUGCUUAUCUAAAGGCAGGUAUAAGCCUUGAUCAAUACAUCCCGUUAAUGCAAUUAUUCUCAGAUGGGCUGUUGUGCUGCCUUUGCUUUUCACCCUUUUUAUUUUCCAGCCGUUUGGUGAUUGGCCCCAAGGAACGGUCACGUAUAUUAAUCCUGACAUAUCUGCCAAGUAGUGAGAGGGAGUCGCCCCCCCUGAACAUGUCCUAAUGAUCAGCUUUAUCUUUUAUCACAAAAGCGUGACAUAGGACAUGCCGUGUUGCCGGCAGAAGUGCUGCCUUGGAGAAUUUUCCAACAUUAUCUU